UCCGGAGUUUAGAAAGCAUAUUGUAUACCUCCUGCUUACCUCAAAUUCACAUUAACACCAUUAGAUAUGAAGAUCUGGCUCCCAUGAUCAUCAUACUAAAAAUUCACCUUGAUCCGACAUCAUCCCACCGUUGAUCUACACCCAUGUCUUUCAUUAUCAAAGAAAUAACCACACCAAAUAAUUUCUCCAAGUCUCAUAUUUUUUUCUUUUCUCUCUUUCUCCUCCUCUAUGCCGUGCUCUCUCUCUCUCUCUCU
rnacentral:lncRNA from 1 species